rnacentral:rRNA from 1 species
GACGAACCGUGCGAACGUUAUUCGGAAUCACUGGGCGUAAAGCGCACGUAGGCGGCUUUUUAAGUCAGGGGUGAAAUCCUGGAGCUCAACUCCAGAACUGCCUUUGAUACUGAGAAGCUUGAGUUCGGGAGAGGUGAGUGGAACUGCGAGUGUAGAGGUGAAAUUCGUAGAUAUUCGCAAGAACACCAGUGGCGAAGGCGGCUCACUGGCCCGAUACUGACGCUGAGGCACGAAAGCGUGGGGAGCAAACAGG